rnacentral:piRNA from 1 species
AAAAUGAAAUCUGAGUAGAGAAGACAGUCA